UACGGGGGGGGCAAGCGUUGUUCGGAAUUACUGGGCGUAAAGGGCGCGUAGGCGGCCUCCGCAAGUCAAUUGUGAAAUCUCCGGGCUUAACUCGGAAAGGUCAACUGAUACUGCGGGGCUAGAGUGCGGAAGGGGCAACUGGAAUUCUUGGUGUAGCGGUGAAAUGCGUAGAUAUCAAGAGGAACACCUGCGGCGAAGGCGGGUUGCUGGGCCGACACUAACGCUGAGGCGCGAAAGCUAGGGGAGCGAACGGG
rnacentral:rRNA from 1 species